ACAGUCACACAUUAGAUACCCGGGUAGUCCCAGCCGUAAACUAUGCGCGUUAGGUGUAUCGGUGACCACGAGUUACCGAGGUGCCGAAGGGAAACCGUGAAACGUGCCGCCUGGGAAGUACGGUCGCAAGGCUGAAACUUAAAGGAAUUGGCGGGGGAGCACCACAACAGGUGGAGCCUGCGGUCUAAUUGGACUCAACGCCGGGAAGCUCACCGGAUAGGACAGCAGAAUGAUUGCCGGGCUGAAGACCCUGCAUGACUAGCUG
rnacentral:rRNA from 1 species